UACCGCAUAAGACCACAACGUCACAUGGCGAAGGGGUCAAAGGAGCAAUCCGGUGAAGGGUGGGCUCGCGUCCGAUUAGAUAGUUGGUGAGGUAACGGCCCACCAAGUCGACGAUCGGUAGCCGACCUGAGAGGGUGAUCGGCCACAUUGGGACUGAGACACGGCCCAGACUCCUACGGGAGGCAGCAGUGGGGAAUAUUGGGCAAUGGGGGAAACCCUGACCCAGCAACGCCGCGUGGAGGAAGAAGGUCUUCGGAUCGUAAACUCCUGUCCUAAGAGACGAGCAGGAGACGGUAUCUUAGGAGGAAGCCCCGGCUAACUACGUGCCAGCAGCCGCGGUAAUACGUAGGGGGCAAGCGUUGUCCGGAAUGAUUGGGCGUAAAGGGCGCGUAGGCGGCCUUUCAAGUCUGAAGUGAAAUUCCCGUUUUUAANAUGGGAACUGCUUUGGAAACUGUAAGGCUUGAGUGCAGGAGAGGUCAGUGGAAUUCCCAGUGUAGCGGUGAAAUGCGUAGAGAUUGGGAGGAACACCAGUGNCGAAGGCGACUGACUGGACUGUAACUGACGNUGAGGCGCGAAAGUG
rnacentral:rRNA from 1 species